rnacentral:rRNA from 1 species
UACGUAGGGUGCAAGCGUUGUCCGGAAUUAUUGGGCGUAAAGAGCUCGUAGGCGGUCUGUCGCGUCUGCUGUGAAAUCUGGGGGCUCAACCCCCAGCCUGCAGCUGAUACGGGCAGGCUUGAGUUCGGUAGGGGAGACUGGAAUUCCUGGUGUAGCAGUGAAAUGCGUAGAUAUCAGGAGGAACACCGAUGGCGAAGGCAGGUCUCUGGGCUGACACUCACGCUCAUGCACGAAAGCGUGGGGAGCAAACAGG